rnacentral:rRNA from 1 species
UACGUAGGGACCGAGCGUUGUCCGGAUUCAUUGGGCGUAAAGAGCUCGUAGGCGGUUUGUCGCGUCUGCCGUGAAAAGUCCGGGGCUCAACUCCGGAUCUGCGGUGGGUACGGGCAGACUAGAGUGAUGUAGGGGGAGACUGGAAUUCCUGGUGUAGCGGUGAAAUGCGCAGAUAUCUGGAGGAACACCGGUGGCGAAGGCGGCAUCCUGGACCAACACUGACGCUGAGGAGCGAAAGCCAGGGGAGCAAAGCGGG